AGCAGCCGCGGUAAUUCCAGCUCCAAUAGCGUAUAUUAAAGUUGCUGCAGUUAAAAAGCUCGUAGUUGAAUUUCGGGACCGAUAUAUCGGUCGUGCCUCGGUACGUACUGGUAUUUUCGGUUUCUACCUUCUGACGAACCUUGAUGUCAUUAAUUUGGUGUCUUGGGAAAUCAGGACUGUUACUUUGAAAAAAUUUAGAGUGUUUAAAGCAGGCUCACGCUUGAAUACAUUAGCAUGGAAUAAUGAAAUAGGACGUUUGAUUCUAUUUUGUUGGUUUCUAGGAUUGACGUAAUGAUUAAUAGGGAUAGUUGGGGGCAUUAGUAUUCAAUUGUCAGAGGUGAAAUUCUUGGAUUUAUUGAAGACUAACUACUGCGAAAGCAUUUGCCAAGGAUGUUUUCAUUAAUCAAGAACGAAAGUUAGGGGAUCGAAGACGAUCAGAUACCGUCGUAGUCUUAACCAUAAACUAUGCCGACUAGGGAUCGGAUGAUGUUAAUUUUUUAAUGACUCAUUCGGCGCCUUA
rnacentral:rRNA from 1 species